UGAGGAAUAUUGGUCAAUGGGCGAGAGCCUGAACCAGCCAAGUCGCGUGAAGGAUGAAGGUUCUAUGGAUUGUAAACUUCUUUUGUCCGAGGGUAAAAAAGGCCACGUGUGGCUUCUUGCAAGUAUCGGACGAAUAAGCAUCGGCUAACUCCGUGCCAGCAGCCGCGGUAAUACGGAGGAUGCAAGCGUUAUCCGGAUUUAUUGGGUUUAAAGGGUGCGUAGGCUGUUUGUCAAGUCAGAGGUGAAAGGCCGCAGCUCAACUGUGGAAUUGCCUUUGAUACUGGCAGGCUUGAAUACUGUUGCCGUGGGAGGAAUGAGUAGUGUAGCGGUGAAAUGCAUAGAUAUUACUCAGAACACCGAUUGCGAAGGCAUCUCACGAAGCAGACAUUGACGCUGAGGCACGAAAGCGUGGGGAUCAAACAGGAUUAGAUACCCUGGUAGU
rnacentral:rRNA from 1 species